UGGGGACAAGACCCAUGGGCAGUGAAGAGCUGCAGGCAUGGGGACAGGACCCAUGGGCAGUAAGAGCUGCAGGCAUGGGGACAGGACCCAUGGGCAGUGAAGAGCUGCAGGCAUGGGGAUAGGACCCAUGGGCAGUGAAGAGCUGCAGGCAUGGGGACAGGACCCAUGGGCAAUAAGAGCUGCAAUGGGUUGAGGGCAGGGCUAAAUUUAUAAGGCAUAGGUAUGUGAGUUAUUUCUUUACAAGACAAAGGAAAGAUAAUGCAAAACAUCGUUAAAAUGGUAUCAGUGCAGGUGUGGUCUGGUUAUUGGGUGGUCCUGUAACUUUGGGUAGGAAUCAGGUCAGAUCAGGUCAGGACGUCCCAUGCUUCCCCGAGGAUGAUAUAGGUCGGUGUGUAGGGCAGGAUGCCUUGGGCUUCUCUCCCUGGGGCAGCCUGGAUCCUCAUCAAUAGGAACCAACUAAGAGAACGAGAAUAGGGAGCCACUGACAGGGCCAAGCGCAGUGUGCAGGCCUUUCGUUUAUCGUAUUUCCACUAGAUUCGGAAGGCCUGUCCAUAGGGGUCAGCACACUUUCUGGAGAGGUUAUCGAGCUGCUUGUCAGAGCACAGACAGACAGAGGUGAAGGCCCUCCUGAGUUACAGCGGAGAUCUGCUGCCUGGGGUACCUUCCGGAGGGCCACAGGGAAUGCAGGGGAGCUGAAAAGAGCUAGCGUUUCUUGGGCACUUGAGCCAGACACUGUAAGUCUUUAGGAUGUGAACUAAUUGAAUACUCUCAGCUCUCUGAAGUGCCUACUGUUAUUGUCUCCAUCUUAGAAAUGAGGAACUCAGGCACAGAGAGACUAGGUACCUUGCUAAAGGUAACAGAGCUGGAGCCAGAACUCAAGUCAGCUUCAGAGUCUGCAGCUCAGCCACUCCCCCUCCCCUGCAUGUAGGGGCCCUGGAGAAAGGUGUGGGCUAGAGGAGGGCACAUGGCGUAACUGGAACUCACACUGCCAGCAGCGGCCAUGCGGGAGGGGUGGAAAAUCCACGUCUGAACCACACAUCCAACCCAGGAGGAAUGAGGGAGAUGCUCCGAGGGAUGAGGCCCCCGCGGGGCCCCUCUCUGACCAGGGAGGGCAGGUGGCAGAUGGGCAGCCAUGGAGCCAAGCCCCGACCAGCUGUUGUUUGCAGAGGAAGGUGAAUGCGUGGUGACAGCUGGAUUAGGUGUACCCAGCAACUCAGUGACCAUUUGGUGGAUGCGCAGUGGGCCCUUCUGGCUGGCCCUUCUAGCACCUCCGAGCCCUGGGAGCUUCGUGCUUGCUAAUCUCCAUCCCCAUGGCAGCAGGAGGUGACAGGGUCAUCACUAAGGCCAUGGAAUCUUCCACCUCUCCAUGGCCAGGGAGCUUUUCCAAAUGAUCAGAGAACCUCCUCCCUUCCAGAAAGUAAGAUGUAAAACCAGGAUGACAGGCCCAGAAUGUGUGACCAGCAUGAAUGGCCUCUCUCCCAUCCUACUCUCGAUUCUCCUCUCUUCCGUGUCCUCUAUGCCCCUUUGAUUUGGGUCUCCUGAUUUCAUUUGUUUUGUCUGCCCUUCUGUCUGUUUCCUGCCUCAUUUCACAAAGGAUUUGAAGCAGCUCUCAAAAAUACAUUCAAAAUAAUCAGACAACAAAAUAAAUAUUUGCCUAACUUGGGAGCAGAGGAGUAUAUGGGUGGGCUACCAGAGGUGUGUGCAGUGCUAAGAUGCCUAGUGACCCCUUUUCAGAAGACUGCGUCUGGAACCAUCCUAGUCUGUCUUGUACCUUAAAGCUUAGAAUGACAUUUUGGGCAUAUUUUCUUUUUCAUACUAUAUAAGCAGUUGAUUCAUUAAACAAAUUUUAGUUAACGCCUAUUUAAAAAAAAAAGAAAAACAUCCCCACCCUUUUCAUUUGUGAGUUCUUCUGUCACAUUUCGUGUCUUUGCCAAGGUGUCCUUUCAGAAUAAGACACUGACUAAUGUUUGAAUUCUAGACCACAGGCAAGGACCCACUCCUUGGUAUCAUUUUAGUUGUUCAUUUUG
rnacentral:lncRNA from 1 species